UACGAAGGUGGCUAGCGUUAUUCGGAUUUAUUGGGCGUAAAGGGUCCGUAGGCGGUUUGACAAGUCAGGUGUGAAAUCCCACAGCCUAACUGUGGACACGCAUUUGAAACUGUCAGACUAGAGUAUGAGAGGGGUAAGAGGAAUUUCCAGUGUAGGGGUGAAAUCCGUAGAUAUUGGAAAGAACACCGGCCGCGAAGGCGUUUUACUGGCUCAUUACUGACGCUCAGGGACGAAAGCCAGGGGAGCAAACGGG
rnacentral:rRNA from 1 species